rnacentral:rRNA from 1 species
UGGGGAAUAUUGCACAAUGGGCGAAAGCCUGAUGCAGCAACGCCGCGUGCGGGAUGACGGCCUUCGGGUUGUAAACCGCUUUUCAGCAGGGACGAAGGUUUUCUGACGGUACCUGCAGAAGAAGCACCGGCUAACUACGUGCCAGCAGCCGCGGUGAUACGUAGGGUGCGAGCGUUGUCCGGAAUUAUUGGGCGUAAAGAGCUUGUAGGCGGUCCGUUGCGUCGGAAGUGAAAACUCAGGGCUUAACCCUGAGCCUGCUUUCGAUACGGGCGGACUUGAGGGAUGUAGGGGAGAACGGAAUUCCUGGUGGAGCGGUGGAAUGCGCAGAUAUCAGGAGGAACACCAGUGGCGAAGGCGGUUCUCUGGACAUUUCCUGACGCUGAGAAGCGAAAGCGUGGGGAGCAAACAGGCUUAGAUACCCUGGUAGUCCACGCCGUAAACGGUGGCACUAGGUGUGGGACCCAUUCCACGGGUUCCGUGCCGUAGCUAACGCAUUAAGUGCCCC